GCUGGGAGAAUGCAAGGAAAUGCAAAAGAAAGAAAAUUUGAGACAAAGGGGCACAAAAUUAAAGGAAAACCUAUAAAUGAAGAUUGUAUCUCUGGGACUUGAAAUGAUAGAAGUCUCAGUCCUACAGUGGAAGUAAGUGCAAUUCAAUUCAACAGACAUUUAUUGAUAGUUCCUCCAAUCUAGAACUCGUGUCUCAAAUAUAAAUACUAUGAAAAUAUGUUACAUAGAAAAACUAUAAUAAUGGUAGAGCAUAAAAUGCAUGUAGUUUGAUCAUAUGUAUCCAUUUGGAUUUGUAUAUCCACCAUGUAAUUCUCUUCAUUCCCUCUAGCCAACCACUUUGGAAAUAUUUUACUUCUAAAAGUAAGUGAGAAGAAUUAUUUGAUUCAUUUAAACAAACAUUUACUAACCCUACUGGCUACCAAGCAUUGUUCACAGAAGAUAACAGGAAAUAAAGAAAGCUUCUGCCCCUGAAAAGUCUGGAUUACACAGAAAAUUGUCAGUAAAUGAAUGGUCAUCUAGUUCAACACCUUUAUUUAAGAGAGACAUUGAAGUCCAAUGACAAGACAGAAGUCAAGACGAUUGGUCAUAGCUCAGGAUGCAGAGGUGACCUUGACUUCUUCAAAGAUCUAAGUGAUUCACAGCAUCGGAUUUCUCCUCUUUUGUUGCCAUUGAAACAGAUUGUUCUCAUUCUCCCCUUUCACAAGGAAAAGUCUUCACAUGUCUGGGAUAGAUAGCCCCUCACUCACCAACUGGUUUGAGGUUUAUUGGUUAACCUCAAUGUGUGAGACCACAGGCCAAUAUAGUUAACCAGGCUAUGCACAUUCACAGCUUUUUGGAGAUACAGGUGAGAGCUGGGUGGCAGAUGGCCACCAAAGGAGGAAGGCAUACCUGAAAAUGAAUGGAAGCUCUCACACCAGAUAUAUUAGUGUUCCCUGAACACCAGUGCUCCAGAGUAGCUAGAGAGCUGGGCCAGGAGUCAGGAGGACUUAUCUUAUUGAGUUUAAAUCUGGUCUCGGACCCUUAGUAGUUGUGUGAAUGGAUAAGUCAAUUAAGCUUGUUUACUUUAUUUCCCUCUUCUAUAAAGUGAGCUGGAGAAGAAAAUGGUAGACCACUCCAGUAUGUUUCCAAAAAAUCCCAAAUGGGGUUAUAAAGUGUCAGGCAUGAUUGAAAAAUGACUGAAUAAUGUUGCAUAAGAUUUGAACAAGAUUUGAAACCAAGUUCUCUGCCUCUAAAGCCAUUUCUAUUACUUCUAUACUGUGUCAGUCAGAUAAGGUAUUGGUAGAAUACAAGUUCCUUGACAAUAGAGAUUGCUUUGUUUUUGUCAUUGUGUCCUUAAUGUUUAUAAAAAAAACAAACAAACACUGCUGGCACUUAGCAUGGGGUUAAUAAAUGUUUGUUGAAUUGAGCUGAAUUAAUUUUU
rnacentral:lncRNA from 1 species